rnacentral:rRNA from 1 species
UACGUAGGGGUAGCGUUAGCGUGAAUACUGGGCGUAAAGGGUGCGUAGGCGGGUCUUUAAGUCAGGGGUGAAAUCCUGGAGCUCAACUCCAGAACUGCCUUUGAUACUGAGGAUCUUGAGUCCGGGAGAGGUGAGUGGAACUGCGAGUGUAGAGGUGAAAUUCGUAGAUAUUCGCAAGAACACCAGUGGCGAAGGCGGCUCACUGGCCCGGUACUGACGCUGAGGCACGAAAGCGUGGGGAG